rnacentral:rRNA from 1 species
GUGGUUGUUGCUGGCCCUCUCGGGGGCAUGUGCACACCCACCAUCCUCAUCUCUCCACCUGUGCACCUCUUGUAGACCUGGAUAGACUUUCCGAGGCAACUCGGUCGGGAAGAUUGCUGCGCUCUGUGAGCCAGCUUUCUUUGCAUGUCCAGGCCUAUGUUUUUCAUAUACCCCUAUAGAAUGUAACAGAAUGUAUCAUUGGGCCUUGUGCCUAUAUACCUUAUACAACUUUCAGCAACGGAUCUCUUGGCUCUCGCAUCGAUGAAGAACGCAGCGAAAUGCGAUAAGUAAUGUGAAUUGCAGAAUUCAGUGAAUCAUCGAAUCUUUGAACGCACCUUGCGCUCCUUGGUAUUCCGAGGAGCAUGCCUGUUUGAGUGUCAUUAAACUCUCAACCUUAUUAGCUUUUGUUGAUAAUGGAUUGGAUGUGGGGGUUUCUUUGCUGGCUUCUUCACAGAGAUCAGCUCCCCUUAAAUGCAUUAGCUGGUGCCCCGCGUGGACCAUCUAUUGGUGUGAUAAUUAUCUGCGCCGUGGAUGUCUGCAAUCAUAUGGGUUUUGCACUGCUUCUAACUGUCUGUUCAUUCGGACAAUACAUGACAAUUUGACCUCAAAUCAGGUAGGACUACCCGCUGAACUUAAGCAUAUCAAUAAGCGGAGGAAAAGAAACUAACAAGGAUUCCCCUAGUAACUGCGAGUGAAGCGGGAAAAGCUCAAAUUUAAAAUCUGGCGGUCUCCGGCCGUCCGAGUUGUAAUCUAGARAAGUGUUAUCCGCGCUGGACCGU